GUACCUUAUUCAAACCUCAUGAGUCUACAAAAUUCGGCUGGAAAUGUUAUCAUAUGUUAGCAUUUCUGUUUCUGGUGCCUGAUGAAAGCUGGAGGUGCAGAGAGAUGCAAAAAUGAAAACCAAUGGGAAGAAAAGAUACCUAGCCUCUUUUAUGUCUCUAAAAGGCUGGACUGCAGUUGUUAUGCUGUGUACAUGAAGAUGUAUUUGUUCAAGAGGUCCAGUCAUCGUGCUAAAUAGAAUCGCUCACUUUGGUUGGCAAAUAUUGACUCAAGCUGUUACGUUUUUAUGUAUUUCAGCGACUCACAAUGUUUGAGAGCUCAGCAAGCAAACAAGAGCAGUGUCACAAAUGUGGUCCUUUAAGGGUGUCUAGUCUUGGAUUUGCCAUCCACAUGAUGCAGAGCAUGACUGUAGUGAGGAGGCACAAGUAUUCAUGGACAUUCCAGGGUUCUUGAGAAGGAGUUUCUCACAUACAUACAAAAAAACAGCCUGCAGAGAAAACACCACUACACAGUCUAUGAAGAGUAAGAAGAGAUAUUUUAGAUGUCCUAAAAUCUUGCCUCUAGCAAGAUCUCUCCAGAACAAUGGUGUGUUCAUGGAGAAGAUGUAUUAUGAAGAAAUCCUCCUCUUUCCUUAUAAGGG